rnacentral:rRNA from 1 species
UACGUAGGGUGCAAGCGUUGUCCGGAAUUAUUGGGCGUAAAGAGCUCGUAGGCGGUCUGUCACGUCGGCUGUGAAAUCCCGGGGCUCAACCUCGGGUCUGCAGUCGAUACGGGCAAGCUAGAGUAUUGCAGGGGAGACUGGAAUUCCUGGUGUAGCGGUGAAAUGCGCAGAUAUCAGGAGGAACACCGGUGGCGAAGGCGGGUCUCUGGGCCGAUACUGACGCUGAGGAGCGAAAGCGUGGGGAGCGAACAGG